rnacentral:rRNA from 1 species
AUGCACGUGGCCAUGAUCUGGAUGGUGGCAGCCGGCGUGAGUGUGGCGCUGGCCUCGUCGUGGAUCCUCAGCGCGCUGUGGCGGUACGUGUGGAGGCCCCGCGCCAUAACCAGGGCGUUCCGCGCGCAGGGCGUGGGCGGGCCGGACUACCGGUUCCUGGUCGGCAACAUCGGCGAGAUAAAGCGCCUCCUCAUCGAGAGCGCAGGCCUCGUGCUCGACCUAGGCUGCCAUGACUACAGCGCCCUGGUGCAGCCCCACUUUCGCAAAUGGAUGGCCCAAUACGGACGGACAUUCGUCUCGUGGCCCGGGGAGAAGCCGGAAUUGUUCAUGGGGGAUGUGAACAUGGUGAAGCAGGUGCUCUCCGACCGCACGGGGCUUUUUCCAAAGAAUCCCGUGAAUGAUCAUUUCACCCGCUUGCUUGGUAAGGGACUCAUCCUCAUCGACGGCGACGAGUGGAAGCGCCACCGGAAGGUUGUCCACCCAGUGUUCAGUGUCGACAAGCUAAAGAUGUUGGCUAUGACAGUGUCUGAUUGUGUCGGGUUAAUGCUGGCGGACUGGGAAGCAAAAUUGGAGAUGAAUCGGGGUCCUGUAGAGAUUGAUAUUAGUUGCCAGUUCGAGGAGGUUGCAGCCGACGUGAUCUCACAUGUGGCAUUUGGCAGAAACCAUAAAGAGGCCAAGGAAGUCUAUCUGGUGCAGAAAGAGCUCCAGUUUCUUGCCUUCAACAGUAUAUUUAAUGUUUUGAACCUCAUCCCGGGCUUCAGGUACCUUCCUACCAAAAAUAACCUAAAGAUGCAUAUGCUCGAGAAACAGGUGAGGAGCAUACUCAUGAACAUCAUAAAAAAUCGGGUUAACUGCAAGGACACUGUGGGAUACGGGAAUGACAUGCUUGGGAUAAUCCUGAAUGCAUGCGCGCCAGAGCACGUGCAAAACCCCCUCAUGAGCAUGGAGGAGAUCAUAGAAGAGUGCAAGACUUUUUACUUAGCUGGACAUGAGACCACCGCGCAGCUGCUCACCUGGACUAUGUUCUUGUUAAGCACACACUCAGAGUGGCAAGAGAAGCUCAGGGAGGAGGUGGUGAGAGAAUGUGGCAAGGAUAUCCCUACAGAUGACAAGCUCAACAAUAUGAAGCUGGUCAACAUGUUCAUUCUAGAAACUCUCAGGCUAUACGGCCCGGUCACAAACAUCCAGAGGAAAACAGGCUCCAAUCUUGAGCUCGGCGGCAUCAAGGUACCGGAAGGCACAAUUCUAUCAACACCGAUCAAGACGAUACACCGUGACAAGGAACUUUGGGGCAAGGACGCUGAAGAGUUCAAGCCACAGAGAUUCGAGAACGGGGUGGGCAGGGCUGCGAAGCACCCAUAUGCAUUUCUACCUUUCUCUAUAGGGCCAAGGGCUUGCAUUGGGCAGAACUUUACAAUGAUCGAGGCGAAGGUUGUGUUCGCGAUGAUCCUGCAGAGGUUCUCAGUCUCGCUUUCCCCCAACUAUGUCCAUGCACCGAUGGAUGUAUUCACGAUACGGCCAAGAUACGGCCUUCAAGUGGUCAUCAACAGCUUGCAGAUCUAG